UUCUUCCCUUUCAUGGCUCAUGGCCACAUGAUACCAACUCUAGACAUGGCUAAGCUUUUCUCUAGCAGACGAGCCAAAUCCACAAUCCUCACCACGCCUCUCAACGCCAAGAUCCUCCAGAAACCAAUCGACGCAUUCAAGAACCUGAAUCCUGGUCUUGAAAUCGACAUCCACAUCUUCGAUUUCCCUUGCGUGCAGCUCGGGUUACCACAAGGAUGUGAAAACGCUGAUUUCUUCACUUCAAACAAUGAUGAUGGAAACGAGAUGGAAUUGAAAUUCUUUUUCUCGACAAGGUUUCUCAAAGACCAGCUUGAGAAGCUCCUUGAGACAACGCGACCAGACUGUCUUAUCGCCGACAUGUUCUUCCCCUGGGCCACUGAAGUUGCUGGGAAGUUCAAUGUGCCAAGGCUUGUGUUCCACGGCACUGGCUACUUCUCUUUAUCAACUGGUCAUUGCAUCAGAGUGCAUAAACCACAAAACAGAGUAGCUUCAAGCUGUGAGCAAUUUGUGAUUCCUGAGCUCCCUGGGAACAUACUGAUUACUGAAGAACAGAUCAUAGAUGGUGACGGAGAGUCUGAGAUGGGGAAGUUUAUGACUGAGGUUAGGGAAUCGGAAGUGAAGAGCUCAGGAGUUGUCGUGAAUAGUUUUUACGAGCUUGAACCUGAUUACGCCGAUUUUUACAAAAGCUCUGUACAGAAGAGAGCCUGGCACAUCGGUCCGCUCUCUGUUUAUAACAGAGGAUUUGAGGAGAAGGCUGAGAGAGGAAAGAAAGCAAACGUUGAUGAGGUAGAAUGCCUCAAUUGGCUUGACUCCAAGAAACCAGAUUCAGUCAUUUACGUUUCUUUUGGGAGCGUGGCAAACUUCAAGAACGAGCAGCUCAUCGAGAUCGCUCAAGGAUUAGAAGCUUCUGGCUCAAGUUUCAUUUGGGUCGUUAGGAAAAAUACAAGUAUUAAUUGUAAUUCAAGUUUAAAACAAUUAUCAGCCUAUAUAGAAUGUAAUACAACUGUGGUUUCUAAACAAACUUUGGUGUGAACAGGUGACAAUGAAGCAUGGUUACCAGAAGGGUUCGAAGAGAGGGUGGAAGGUAAAGGGAUGAUAAUAAGAGGAUGGGCUCCUCAGGUGCUGAUACUUGAACACCAAGCGAUCGGUGGGUUUGUGACCCAUUGCGGCUGGAACUCGCUUCUCGAAGGAGUAGCUGCAGGGGUACCGAUGGUGACAUGGCCGGUUGGAGCGGAGCAAUUCUACAACGAGAAGUUGGUUACGCAAGUGCUGAGGACAGGAGUGAGCGUGGGAGCGAAAAGACAUAUGAAGGUAAUGGGAGAUUUCAUUAGCAGAGAGAAAGUGGAUAAAGCGGUGAGGGAGGUGUUGGUUGGGGAAGAGGCAGAGGAGAGGCGGAGGCGGGCCAAGAAGCUGGCGGUGAUGGCUAAAUCCGCAGUGGAAGAAGGAGGGUCUUCUUUCAACGACUUAAAUAACUUCAUAGAAGAGUUUAGUUCAUAAUUUUACAUAUAGAUUCCGUUUAGGAAUCCCCUAUGAGAAGUAAAGAUGUAACCUAAUGCAAAUAUAUAUAAGAGACAAAGCAUAGGCUAAGUGAAUAAAGCACCGUUCAUUAGCAGACGGAUAAAGAUGCAAAGUUAAUGAAUAAUGAAUUUGGUAUUUGAGUUACUCUUUCUUGAAUCACAACAAUUUACUUAUGUUGUUUUUAUUAGCUGUUGAAUUCCAUCUCACCUGCUGUUCAGGUGUUAAGAAGUAUUUUUCAUAUGUCUUUUGUUAUGUGAAGAAAAGUUGGAUUUGUUCAUUAAAUUUGAAAGUGACAUAUAAGUUUGUGAUAUUGGUAAAGAACGGUGGUUGUAAUUUUUAUAGUUUAGCAGAAUUAUGUUGUAACGUUUUUUUUUUUUUNNNNNNNNNNNNNNNNNNNNNNNNNNNNNNNNNNNNNNNNNNNNNNNUUCCAAAUAGCAAUUUGCAUUCUUCUAUCUGGUGGACCAAUGGCAAUCACUCCCCUACGUGUAAUGAAUAAAGUACUACAAUAGGGUAUAUAUUCUCUAGUAAAUGCUUUUCAAUUAUCUUAGUCAAAUCACUUUUACAGUUUACUUUUUUUUUUUCCAUAAAAAAGAGAUAAACUAAUGAUAGUAAAUAAAUAUAGAUCUACAAGUUACAAGAUUUUGGUUCCAAAGGACCUUGAAAAAUGAAAACUCUUACAAAGUGACGUAUGUAAACACGUCAGAAACCAUUAUAUAUAUACCCAAAAAUAGCCCCACCCAUGAUCCAAGCUUCCAUGUGAAUUUUUGUGCUAUAUAUACACAUAGACGAUAUGUAUUAAACUCAUACUACAAACACGAAAACAUCACUUCAAGAUCUCUCAUUUCACAUAACUAUUUUUCUUUUAAGUUUCUCAGAACAUCUCAUUUUCUUUUCGACCAAAUUCAAACAUGGGUACUGAUCAUUCCCCUCGUAGGCUCCAUGUUAUGUUGUUCCCUAUCAUGGCUCAUGGCCAUAUGAUACCUACUGUAGACAUGGCUAAGCUUUUCUCUACCAGAGGCGCCAAAUCCACUAUCCUCACCACACCUCUCAACGCCAAGAUCCUCCAGAAACAAAUCGACACAUUCAAGAACCUGAAUCCUGGUCUCGAUAUCGGCAUCCACAUCUUCGACUUCCCUUGCGUGGAGCUCGGGUUACCACAAGGAUGCGAAAACGCUGAUUUCUUCACCU
rnacentral:lncRNA from 1 species